UGGAUGACGAAAUGUUUUGUGCCAAUAAAAAUUCUGCAACAAGCUAUAAAAGGAGCGUUGGCCAAGGAUUCAGAGGAUCCGGACAAAGGUUUAAGAACGGCGAUGUCUAACGUUAAAAAUAAGGUUACGAAGCAAAAGAACAGAAACAAUAAUUGUACAAUUUUUGAAAAUCUAAAUAGUACCAUAUAAUUAAAAUGAAUUAAAAUGAAAUGAAUUAAA